GCCUCUGAAAGAUAAUAGCUAUCUAUUGGUCUUAGGAACCAAAAAUUCUUGAUGCAACUCCAAGCAGAAGCU
rnacentral:tRNA from 1 species